CAAGAAGUAAACCCUGGUUGUUAUAAGUCACUGACUUUUGGGGAUUAUUUGUUAUUGCAGCAUAAUGUGACCUAUCCUACCUGGUGCAGUUACUCUGGGUGGUGUGUGAAAGGGCUAAAGAAGUUCCUGCAAGAGAAGAGUGGGGCCUGGGUCUGCCUUUCCCAUUGCCAAGAUGCCGUCUGCUGGCAACAUCAUCCAUUAUGACUGAUCAUGGCAAAUGCCGGUCAGCUGGCCUCACAGCAGUUGUUAGGAAAAUAGUCUUUGGCUUGAUUAUGUUAUCUGGCUUUCCCCAAGGAGCAACUUCUACAAUCAUCACUGGAGAGAUGCUUUCCCAGCCGCAUAGGCAGUGUUAAUUCCAGGCGAUGCCGACCUGCUUAGGGCAACCAGAUGAGGUGUCCUCAGAUAUGUUCAAGCCCAAAAGAAUCUUAUACCUGGACCCCCCAGUCCCUAGCCCCUGGAAAAGACUCAGAAUGGAUGGAAGUUGUUUAUAAAUUCUCCUCUGCUGCAUACUGUUAAGAAGGGGAAAGAGGAGUGCUGGACUCACCCUGAAUUCUUUCUUACGCGAGAUCCAAGAAUUGUCUCUUGGGGUCUGUGCUGGGACUGCUUUCCUGUAACAUAUUUCUGGCGUCCACAGAAGGGACUAUAGUGAGGAAACCACUGACUUUGGAUCACUCCCUGCAGGUGAAGCCAACUGCCAUGUUGUGCAGAGGCUCCAGCCUCCCGUGGAGAGGCCCACACGGAGAGGAUCUGCCAUCGCCAGCAGGAGCUUUCCAGCCAUAUGAUUUCUGGCAUGGGAGACACUGAACCAUAACCACCCAGCUAAGCUGCCCCUGGAUUCCUGACCUGCAAGACAUGAAAGUGGAACCUACACUGUCAGCUUUCCUGGUUCUCAGGCCUUUGGACUCAGACUGGAACUGCACCAUCAGCUCUCCUGGGGCUCUAGCUUGUCAAUUACAGGUCUUGGGACUUCACAGCUUUCAUAAUUGCAUGAGCCAAUUCCUGAUUCUCUCUCUCUCUCUCUGUAUAUGUAUGCAAGGAUUCCUCUCGUGGUGACAAGAUGGCUGCCGCAGCUCUGAGAAUCACAUCCUCACAAGAUAGCAUCCAGAUCCAGGAAGGGAAGACAGCCAAAGCAGGAAAGGCACUUUCUCUGCAUGUACCACUCUUUUAUUAAAGGGACUGUGAAGAUUACCUCCUGAAAACCUCUUGUCAGAUUUCUCCUAUGUCUCAUCAGUCAGAC
rnacentral:lncRNA from 1 species